UUGAUCUUCUUAUGAUGGUCUUUCAGAGUCCAUCACACUAAUUGAUUUCUUCAGGCCCUUGUUGAUGUUUACUCAUGAAAAGACUGUUUUUUUAAUUUUCUAGUUUGUAUAAUUUUAAUGGAUAUUUCUAAAACAAUGCUCUGCCAGGUUGCCAUUUACAAAUACAAGUGAUGCAUUGACAAUUUUCUUUUAUGAUUUCCUUUUCUUCUCUGUCUUUAUAUGUUGGAUUGGGACAUGAUCUGCAUAUUGUCAAUUGCUCCUGAUAAUGGCUCCUCCCUGCAUGCUGUUUGGGGCUGGUCAUUCUAUGCAUUAUCCAUUGCAUGUAAGAGAAAUAUUCUUAUUUCUGUUUUUAUUUUAUCAUUUGAUUGUUUUGACUUUGUUUUGUAUUGUUUUCAUCUUAAUUUUAAUAUUUAUAUACUAGUGGUUGGGAAUAUUUGUUGUGUCUUUUUAUUAGGGAAGUUGUAAGUUUCAUGGGCUUACAAGUUCUCAACAUUGACUUCUAUUUCCAUCUUGCAUCUACAUUUCAGAUGAAUAUUUUCUCCUAGAGCGAAAGCUGUCCACCCAAACAAUGGCGUAUUGUGAUGAAAAACUAAUACUUUCUUUCAAUAUUAUAGAACCUGAUUAUAUAAGUUCUUAAGCAGUGAAUAUUUCAAGCAUUUGUUGGGUACAGGAUCUGUGGGGUAGAGUGCUUGCUGAGCUAACAUGAAUUCCUGGACUCAAUCCCCAGCUCCAUCACAAAAGACACAGGGAGGGUAUUUUUAAAAUGGUUAUUUGAGAAUCCUUAUUCAUCAAACACCAUGAAGAUUUAAAAUUCUGAUUUUUAAAAAUAGGAAUAUUCCCUGAAAUAAGUCAUUUGCAUGAUUACAAAAUGCAUUUAUCCCAUGUGUAGUCUACCAUGUCAUUCUUCAUUUAGGUGAGAUAUGCAAGUUGGACAGAUUUUUGUCUGCAACUAUUAUGUUAUGUAGCAUGCCACUUUAACAUGGUGUUUAGAACAGUGCCAAUACAGAUGUCUUUUGCAAACUCAUGGUAAAAUUUCUGUCACUUUUGCAAGUAACCAUACAUAGAUUGCAUUGAAUACUGGUGUCUAAUUAUGGCCAGAUUUGGAUGAUACAUUUAAAUAAUUAUUUUAAUAUGUACCUUUUAAAGUUUUCAAUUAUUCUGAAAUCUUUUAUUUAAGUAGAAUCUUUUAUUCUACUAAAUAUUGGAUCUCUAAUAUGACAUGCUAUAUGAUGUAGCAAGAAUGCUAAAGAAAUGAGUACAUUGUGUCUAUCCAAUAAUCUAAUGGCCUCCUUUAAUGUUUGAGAAAUUAAAAUCACACCAUAUGAGGUAAAUUUAACAAGCAAACAGUAUCCCCUGAGUUAGAAAUAAAUAAACUAUCAUGUUCUAUAUUGAACUUUCUUACACAACACAAGAAAAGGCAGUAGGCCGGGCAUGGUGGCACACAGCUUUAAUCCCAGUACUUGGGAGGCAGAGGCAGGUGGAUUUCUGAGUUCGAGGCCAGCCUCAAACACAAAGUGAGUUCCAGGACAGACAGGGCUAUACAAAGAAACUCUGUCUGGCAAAACC
rnacentral:lncRNA from 1 species